CGGGCACUAGCUCAGUCGGUGAGAGCAGCGGUCUUAUAAACCGUGUUUGUCCUGGGUUCGAAUCCCAGGUGCGCGACCA
rnacentral:tRNA from 1 species